UUCCAAAUCCCUGUGGAAUUAAACAGGUUUUACUUGUUGAGAGAAAGAGUACCACUCAGGAACCCUAAGGCGAAUCUGUAUGGAAAUGCAAGGAGUGACAGGAUGAGAACGGCUUCUGGGUGCACGGAGUCCUCCCUCAGCUCUGCAGGGAAUCCUCUCUGCCUCGUUUCCAAGGACGCCAGACCCAAGAAAGAACGUUCACUGAGAAGCACUGUCCCUGUAGACAUUAACCCCACACAUCCUGUUGAGAACCCACCCACUCCAGGCACUAUGGGGCCAUUUCCCAGAUCUGAAUUUCCCGUGGUGCCGAGAGGGUCUGCCAUGCCAGGCACCCAUGCACCUACUGCAUAAAUUGUCUAGCUUUGUGUGCUCAGACACACUUACGAGUCUUUUUUUCA